rnacentral:rRNA from 1 species
GACGAACGCUGGCGGCGUGCUUAACACAUGCAAGUCGAGCGGUAAGGCCCUUUCGGGGUACGACGAGCGGCGAACGGGUAGAGUAACACGCGGGUGACCUCGCCCUCCAGCUCUGGGAGUAAGCCCGGGAAACCGUAGGGUCUAAUACUGGAUAUGACUCCACGGUGCAUGCCGUGGGGUGGAAAGACCUUGUGCGGCUGAGGAGU